rnacentral:rRNA from 1 species
UACGUAGGGUGCGAGCGUUAAUCGGAAUUACUGGGCGUAAAGCGUGCGCAGGCGGUUUUGUAAGUCUGACGUGAAAGCCCCGGGCUCAACCUGGGAAUUGCGUUGGAGACUGCAAGGCUAGAGUACGGCAGAGGGGGAUGGAAUUCCGCGUGUAGCAGUGAAAUGCGUAGAUAUGCGGAGGAACACCGAUGGCGAAGGCAAUCCCCUGGGCCUGCACUGACGCUCAUGCACGAAAGCGUGGGGAGCAAACAGG